rnacentral:tRNA from 1 species
GAAAUAAGGGGGCCAAGAAAAAGCUGCUAACUUUAUUCUUUAGCGGUUCAACUCCGUUUUUGUUUCU